GAGAUCAUUGAAUUCAAUGGAUAAUAGGAGGAAGAUGAUGUUCAUAUUAGCUUUGCUUAUGGAGCUCUUAUUCUUCUUUAUGCUGCUUCAACAUUCAUAUGCUGCAAACAACCAAACAGACAAUCCUUGGAAGACGAUCUAUAACACUCCGCCAGAUAACACUUAGUCCGGUCAUUGAUGAAAAGACCAAUUCUUGUUCUCAAAACUUAUAAGUUAUAACUGUGGCUGUAGUUUCUCAUUAUUCUUAUAGUAUGUUUAUGAAAUAACACCAAAUUAGGGAUAAUUUGG